rnacentral:rRNA from 1 species
AUACGUAGGUGGCGAGCGUUGUCCGGAAUUACUGGGUGUAAAGGGCGCGUAGGCGGGGCAGCAAGUCAGAUGUGAAAUACCGGGGCUCAACCCCGGGGCUGCAUUUGAAACUGUAGCUCUUGAGUGCAGGAGAGGAAAGCGGAAUUCCUAGUGUAGCGGUGAAAUGCGUAGAGAUUAGGAGGAACACCAGUGGCGAAGGCGGCUUUCUGGACUGUAACUGACGCUGAGGCGCGAAAGCGUGGGGAGCAAACAGGAUUAGAUACCCUGGUAGUCCACGCCGUAAACGAUGGAUACUAGGUGUUGGAGGUAUCGACCCCUUCAGUGCCGGAGUUAACACAAUAAGUAUCCCACCUGGGGAGUACGGCCGCAAGGUUGAA